ensembl:lncRNA REXO6P RNA exonuclease 6, pseudogene
AUUCUUCUUCCUCACGAGAAUAAACACACAUUUUACUCUCACCUGCCACUUCCCCUACUAUCCAUUGUUAGAGUCCUUCACUCCCAAAUUUCGCCGCAGACUCCCGCCCAGUCUCACUCACCAUUGGUUGGGAAAGCUACGAAGCUCCGCCUUUGAAUAGUGAUGGGCUAUAAAAGACGGCACCUUUGAGGGAAAAGGCAGUAGGUCAGGCGCUCACCUUUGCCUGCUCUCUGGCAACAGUGCUCACAGUUUCUGAGCCAGUGGAGGUGGCCUGGAGCAGCAGCCCAUGCUACUCUCUGCCGGUUAUUUUGCCAUUUCUCUGUGCCCUUUUGACAGCUCCAGGGAUCGGUGCCAGCAUUUGUACUGCCAGUUCAGGCACCUGCAGAUCUGGUGGAAAAGUGAGGGAGGUGAUUGCAGUUGCUUGGAGAUGCUCCAGGUGCAAAGGAGUUGUGUUGAGUCCACAGCAGGAGCCUUACUGGUGCUGGAAAAGCAAGUCCUCCUGAUCUACCUCCCUACUGCCAAAGGAACCUAGGAUCAGUUCCUACGGACUGGCUGUGACGGGAAAGAAGCACCAGCACUCGCCUUAGAACUAGCAGCCAAGUCCAUCUAAAGUGACCAGGAGCCUUUUGGGUGGUCCCUCAGUUCCUGAAACACUGGGUUGUAGAGGGAAGCUGUCCCAGAGAUGUUUGGAAAGGUGGUUGGCUUGGGCAGGCGUCAAGAGCAUCUCUUCCAUCCCUCAGGAGGAGCGGGCACCAGCUCCCCAGUAACCGAAAGAACUGCUGGGCCUGCGGGGCUCCACGGUGCCCCAGUCCUAGACAUAACUAUGGAAAAAUUAGAACAGAAAAAAUGAGUUAGUCAAGGCUGAGGUUGAAGAAGAGCAGAAGAGGAUCUCCAAAUGAACUUUAGCACUUGAAGAACUGACUCAAAGCCCUGUGGCCUCCUUGAAUGACACAAAUGUGAGGCAAGAUUUUCCUGAAAAUAGCCUGCUCCCAGAGGAAAAGUGAAUUGCACCAUCAAAGAACAAAGACAGACUGGAAAGUAUGUGAUGGACCUCAGAUGUCCAGAGACUGAUCUUGAAUAUGAUCCUUUCCUCAAUUAUUCUGCGGAGGUACUUGGGGCAUCUAAAGCAAAGCAGGAUGAGGCUGAUCAACAGCACUUCUGCCACUUGAAAACACCUAUGACCUUGCAAAAGACAAUGUGCCAAGAAUGCAAGGUAAUAAUCAAGACCUCAUUACUUUUGAAGAAGCAAAUUAGCCAAAUUUGGUUCUGAUCCAAUCAAAUCUGAUAAUGGUUGUACUGAAGAUGACACCUCCUCUCAUUCUGAUGACACUAUGAAAGAAUGUCUUUAAGUUUCUAAUGAGCUCGUUGAAAGUGAAUCUCAUAAGGAAAAGACUGCUAAACAGUAGGACGAGGUUUCACCCUGUUGGCCAGGCUGGUCUCGAACUCCUGACCUGAAGUGAUGCACCUGCCUUGGCUUCCCAAGGUGCUGGAAUUACAGGCGUGAGCCACCGCGCCCGGCCUAGAGGAUUCUUUUAUAGGAAUCUACACAGGAGCAGUGGAUUCAGUGUUCACUAAAUCUGAGUUUGUGGUGACUUACAGAGUAUAACUACCUGAAAUAACAAGAAUCGACUUUAGUUUUCAAAAUAAUUAUAAACUUUUGUAAUUUAUAAGUGCUGAAGUUCUUUUAUGACAUAAAAAAGAAAUUGAAGAAGCAGUUCAGCCUCAACCAAUAAAGAGGUCAUUAGACCAUUCAGGGUACCAGUCCCACUGCUAACAAGCCCCACUGGAAUCAUUCGGGCCCAGCAAAGCAGUACAGAUAAAGGCUGCCAUAAAGAAUGGGAAGGCUUUUAUUGAUGCCACUUCAGAACAGAAGAAAAAUGCAUCUACAUGUCCAGCCUCUCAGAGCCAAAGGAAAGAGGCCAAAAGAUACAUUUAACAAGAUGGCUCAUCGGAAAAGACAUUCAGUAACAUCAGAAUUCUUAUCCAAAGUACCUGAUGAAGUAAGACAACGCUACAUCAACCUCUUUGUUGAGAAGUAUUUGAAAGUUUGUAAAACAGAGGAUGAGGCUGUUUACAAGGCUAAAAUAGAAAAAAAGGCAAUAUAUGAAAGGUGUAGCAGGAGAAAUAUGUAUGUGAACAUAGCAGUAAAUUAUCUUAAGAAGCUAAGAGAUCAAGGUGCUUAAUUUUAUCUAAGUGAUCUACUUUAUUAAGUCCUCAAAACAACCAUUUCAGGACUUCUCCCUUGGGAUUAUCUUCACUAUUAGCUUUUCUCGUUUUGUUUUAUUUUUUCACAUCCCCUCAAUGGAAGGCAAUACACUUAGCAGGAUCAAGCAUGCAAAGGCAAGUCUCCACAUUGGCUCAUUUACCUUUUCUCUCCCAUCUCAUCUGGAAUAAUCCUACUUCAUGUUUUGUUUCGGCACCUAAGAAGCUCUGUUGUCGAUGUGGAAAAAUAUAUGGUGUGACUCCCUCAGGUUGACACAGCAGGGUAGAAGAAUGUAACUACCAAUUUGGCGGAGUGUUGAGUCAUAAAGUCCUCAGUGGCUUUGAAUCUCAAUACGGCUGUUGUGGAGGUUUCCUUGGAUCGCCCCGGUGUCAGGUCGCCAAGCUUCAUGUUCAUGACCACAAAGAAAACCUAAAGGGCUUUGUGAAGACUUUUGUCAAGUUCCCACCUGCUGAUGGUAAUCACCGUGUGUUUGCAGUAAGUUGUGAGAUGUUAAUUCACACUUCAGUUGUGGACAUAUCGGUUAUGUUUCCUCAUCAGCUUGGCUUGCCUCCCAAAAGACCCCUUAGGAGUCUAAUGGCUGAUUGCCUGCAGAGAAUCGUUCAGGAUGAUGGUCACAAUGCUAGUGAAAAUGCAAAAGCCUGCAUGGAUCUGGUCAUUUGGAAGGUAAAAGAAGACGUGAAAGGAAAGAA